rnacentral:lncRNA from 1 species
CACACUUGAGUUUACUCUUGUCCACCCCACACAUUACAUCAGGAAACACCUUAUACAUCUUAUCAAAAGCCAUAUGCCCCAUCCGGCAGUGAUGGAUCAUUGCCAUUGUUUCCUUUUCACCUAGUAUUGCAACUAGUACUAAACUUGUGGUAGUGCUGGGCAUCUCACGGUCCAUAUACCACAAUCCUUUACGCCUGGUUCCUGUCCCAAGCUUCCUUC